rnacentral:rRNA from 1 species
GGAUGUUCCAUUGAGUCUGCCACGAACGUGGUAUGUACUUAAAUGUGGCGUCCAUCCUCGAAGCGAACUUAUGUGUCAUUCAGUUGAUGUAUAAGGUUACUUCGUCUUUUACUGUGAGCAAAAUAGGGUGUUCAAAGCAGGCUUAUGCCGUUGAAUACAUUAGCAUGGAAUAAUAAGAUAGGACCUUGGUCUAUUUUGUUGGUUUGUACUCCAAGGUA